rnacentral:rRNA from 1 species
AACCUGGUUGAUCCUGCCAGUAGUCAUAUGCUUGUCUCAAAGACUAAGCCAUGCAUGUCUAAGUAUAAAUGUUAUACAGUAAAACUGCGAAUGGCUCAUUAAAACAGUUAUAGUUUAUUUGGUACUCGAUUUACAUGGAUAACCGUGGUAAUUCUAGAGCUAAUACAUGCUUUAAAGCCCGACUUCUCGGAAGGGCCGUAUUUAUUAGAUAACAGACCAAUAUUCCUCGUGUCUAUUGUGGUGAGUCAUAGUAACUUUUCGGAUCGCAUGGGCUUUGUCCCGCGACAAACCAUUCAAGUUUCUGCCCCAUCAGCUUUCGAUGGUAGUGUAUUGGACUACCAUGGCUUUCACGGGUAACGGAGGAUUAGGGUUCGAUUCCGGA